UGUACCUACGAGGCUGAUUGUCUUCUCACUCCUUACUCGGCUCACCCUUAUCACUGGGACCAUCUGAGGUAACAAAAAGCAGAAAAAAAGGUUGAGUUUACAGACGGACGCACUUCUCACACAGGUGAAAGCUCUGAUGGCAGGAGGACGGACGGUGGUGCUGAUCAAAAGCAGAUCUUCAAAGCUCCACUCAGGGACACAGUCAUAGUAGCGACAGUCUGAGAAGGCCAGCCUAGACGUCUCUUCACAAAGCUGUGCAAGAAUAAAGAGCACUUCCACUGUUCCAUGACGUGGGAAGAUCUGCAUUUCUUCUCCUGAAUCCCAGGUUCAUGUACUAGAGUCUUAUCUCCAGAACCCUGGUAUAGACUUU